UAAGAGUGCUUUCAUUCAUAUGUUAAGGGUCCGAGCAGGAAAUUGAGUAUGUCUUCCAAAGUUUCUGCAAACCCCCUUUCUUGACAGAAACUGACUCAGACUAAGCCCUCAGAUUUCUUUGUAAUGUUAUGUACUGUUUGAUCCUUACUGCCUGUAUUCCUGUGUAUGACAACAUAGUAAAAGGCUAUGGAGAAAGGUGCUCGGGGCCUUUUUCUCCCCUGAGAAACUGGCCACAGCCCACGCCUCCUCCUCCCCAAGCAGAUCCAGCAUCUUUCGGCCAUAUUUACUCAUUCACGCAUGUCCGCGGCACCAGGGGGACUCUCGAAAGAAGUCGCCCCCACACUGCAGUUCACUUGACGUCUUUGCCUCUGUCUCUCAGCCUUCCUACAUUUUUAUCUUCCUUCUUAUCCUUCAAUUUCUCGAUUGUCUCCCAUAAAAUAUCUUACCCUUUCGGCAUGAGAUUCCUGACUUUCAAACUCUUCAAGAUGACAUCAUCUGAGGAGUCCAUCUGUUCCCACCCGCACUGCCAAGAAUUGGAAUAGCAAAGCCAAUGGCAUCCCAGAGGGGCCCGUGCCCCUAGGAUGGAGAAGUGCAGGUGGCACUGGUCUCGGUAAGUUAGGGGUGACCUGCUGGUAACACUACCUUUCCGUUGCAAUUCUGGGAGGUCCUUCCUAAUGUGAAAAAGUAAUUCCUGGUCACCUUUGCCACCACCCGAACAUUUGAAGUCAAGAAACAUAAGCACAGCUGCUUAGUAUUUCUCAGUAAGCUCUUACGCUCAUUCCGAGCAUAAGAGCUCAAGUUUGCAGGAAAAGCGCCCCUAUGCCUGUACCCCGACUUCACGUUUUGUGGGGCUUCCCCUUGCAGCUUGCCUUGAGGAAAGCAACGUUCCGUAGUGAUAAUCAAAUUUGUCCAUUAGAAUUCUUCCCGCUAAAACUGAGCCAGUGCUGUGUGCCGGCCUCCGACAGGGACUGCAGCUAAUUAGAAUCUCAGCAACGCUGCCCAGCUCACUCCCACAUCUGCGGCAUUAUUCCAAUCAAUUUUAUUCUUUCGCUAAGCUGCCAAUUUAAAAAUGCGUUUAUUUGAAAGGUACACAAAGAUUAGCUUUCAAUUUUCAACUUCAGCCUCAACCUUACAUUCACGGAGCAUCUUUCACGGGUGGCUUCUCUUUUUGUCCCUGCAACCUUCGGCAGCUGCGUUAAAACCUACUUGGAGAAGCAACACCCAUCCUGGCUUCAAGGAAAGAAAAAGUAAAAUUACUAAAUAAAGCACAAACUAUUUAGAGAGACACGUGAAGGUGGAGAACAGCAAUGAGCGAGUUCACCUGUUCAUUAUCAGGGUGGAUGUGCUGGGUCACAGGUCUGUUUCCCAUGGAAAAAGAACCCGUCCAAUAAAUGGUUUACAGUAAUAAAACCCGAAACCACAUAUCUCCUUUCAUCGGAGUGAAGGUCCAAUUCAUAAUAGCAUUUCACAUCAGAUAAUUCUGAAGGUUCUUUUUUUCCUUCUGUGGAACCAUUUUUUAGCUGAAACAUUGUAGUCUUGAAAAAGCACAGAAUUACAAGAGAAUCUGUACGUAUUUCAGGAGUGAGCUUCCUGGCAAUCAGCAUGUAAUAGAAGAGCAUGUUUAACAUGAAAGCACCUUGAAAACACAUAUUCCAACAUUAAUUUCCAUUUCAUUAUUUAAACUACAUGUCCAGUAAUGAUAUCGGGCCAUGGAGCAGGCACAAGGCAUUUCCAGAAACCUGCCACUUACCAACUGAGAGCUGUCCUGCCUCCCCCCCCCGCCCCAGGGGCCCAGCCAUGCGGCUGAACAGGGCCACGGGGAGAAGGCGAGGGGAGGGCCGGCACCGUCUCGGGGCAAUUUCCAGUCUACGCUGACCCAGGAAUCAUACACUGCUGAGUCUGGACUAGAGAUUUCAUACAUUGUCUGCAUAUUGCCUAUUGUGAAUCUUAAGCUUUAACACCUUAAAUUCAAUUGAAGUCUUAAAUCUUCCCAACGCAGUUAGAUCGUAAUUUUGGUUGAAUUAAUACUUUGUGUUCGUAUUAUCUUGACUAGAUAAAUGUGGUUUGCUGUCCAGCCCGGGCGGGGUAGGCACCAGGCUUCCUUGCAUGUCCUCGUUUGGGGCUUUGCUUCCACUGUGUCUCGUUUAGUCCCACCCCGUCUCCUCCACGAUUUGAGUAUUGGGAGCGUACUGGCCACUGCCUAUUCCGAUCUUUAGUCCAGACCUCUACCUUGACCUCCAGACCUCUGCACCCAAUCUCCUUCUCAACACCUCCUCUUGGAUGUCCAAUAGCUCUCAACCUUAAGGUCUAAAGCACAAUUCCUUAGGUCACCUUCCCCACCCUGCGCAUUCAUUGCACUGUUCCCUGUGCCAGUUACCAGCCACUCACCCCAUCCUUCCACUUGCUCAGGGUAAGAACUGGAGGGGCUUUCUGAUGCUCCCCAUCCAAACUCAGCAAAUUCUGUUACCUCCACCUUGAAAAUACGAGGUCUGUCCAGGAAGUAUCCAGCCAUACAACAUGAAAAAUAGUGACAUUUACUGAAGAAGAUACAAGAAACAUUGUGCAUAGGACAAUGACAUCUCAGUCCCCUUCAAAGUAGACAUCUUUGGACCUCACACAGUUCGCCUGUCAUCUCCUUCACUGUUCAAAACACUGCAAAAUUCUUUGUUGGAAUCUCCAUCAGCUUCUCUGACCGUGUGUACCCAGAAUCUGUUUCUCGCCACCUCUCUCUGCCAUCACCGUCGUUAGCCCACAUCCGAUGCCUGCAACAUGCCCUGUAAUUGGUCUCCCUGCUUCCACCAUUGUUCCCCGACAGUCAACUUCAACACAGCAGUUGGAGGGAUUCCUUUAAAAGCAGCCUGAACCCAGGUCUUCAUGGGCUUUUUUUACCACCGGCUGCUAAGAUGGCCCCUUGAUUGCCUGCCUAUAUCCAGCUGGUGGUGGGAUGAGCUCCUCAUCUCUGGAAGUGAGCAAGAAGCAAGAAGCUCCCUGAUGAAUUCUUGCUGUGCUUCAGGCCCUGGACUGGAGGAGUGAGGCCAGGUGGUCAGCCUGGAUCCCCUCAUCAGUUUCGGAGGAGAGGUUUUCAUUCUGUGAAACGGUGAGCCCCAGACUCCGUGUGUGAGUGUGCUGCCUGGCAAUUAAAAUCAGGGGAGUUUAAUCUGGAGAGAGUUCCAGCUCCGUUGUUUGCCCUUUUAAUCUUGUCUGUUGCCAUGGGAACGGCAAGUGAUUGCAAUCACCACUGUUUGUAUUGUGAGCUCGCUCCCAUCGAUGUGGCUUUUGAAAAAUAAGAAAUACGAAUCUUGACUUCGACGUGCCACUCAUUACUAUUCAGAACAAACCUCGGAGAAGUUCUGCCCACCGCUUGCUUCCCGGUGCACGGGGAGUUUGGAAAUUCCCAGCAGCCCAGCCUCAGGUCCCUGUGUCCCUUCGCCCCUCUCAGCCAGGUGCCUCUGCAGAGGGUACACUCAGAGCCUCGCUGCUUCCCUCUCGCGGCCACAGCACUCCAUUUCAAGCUCGUUGUUAUUACGUUAAUGGCUCAUAAUCACAAUAAUGAUCACUUUCUGAAGAUGGAGGGAGCAAUGCUAGCAGGUCCGCGGCCUUGCAGAGGGGUAGCCUGGGGAGAGCAGCUUCCGUGUACCUGCCACGUCUGAGGGGCCCAGGAGAUGUUCGCUCUCGGGCUUGGCGGCACCCGACCUGCCUUCCCUGGUCCACACCCGACCUGCCUUCCCUGGUCCACACCCGACCUGCCUUCCCUGGUCCACAGAGCUCUUUGGGGACACGCCCAUCCAGAGGCUGCCUGGAGGGCCAGCCCCCAGCUUUCCCACAUGCUUCUGAAUAAAUCUGAAAUGCCUUUGCCUCCCCCUUAGCUUACAGACUGGGAUAUUGAGACAAUGUGAAAAUGUUGGCCUAAUGCCCGGAUAUAAUUGAUUAGACCAUUUUUCUUUGAAUAGGAAAAGACUCCAGAGAACAUCUGAUCCCACCUGCUGUGUAACAACUCAGAAUAAGCUCCUGAGUGAGGCCCUGGCUUGCCAGAGGUCACCUAAUAAGAGACUGCCUCCCAGCCCCUGUCUUCUGGUUUUCUGUAAAUCUGAUCUCAUUUGUGAGAUACGCCCCAGGGCAUUUCAUUUCAUAAACUUUACACAAUUAAAACUAUCUUGUAGUUGAAAUACACACUUGCCUUAGAUGACUUUUCUUUAGGUAAGAUGCAAGUUGGUAUACAAUUUUUAAAAAAUGAGUUUAAUUAUAGAAAUCGGACUAUGUUCUCAAGUCAGAGCCGCAGGCCAGGAGCAGAAAUAGGCCCUCACUGAUUUCAGAAUCAGCCCUGACCUCCAGGCCGUGGCUCCAGGGUUGUCUAGCUGUGUGGUGCUGGGGGACCUGCCUCACGUCCUGGACCCUCAGCAUCCUCUUCUACGAAAUGGACAGAAUGGGGCUUGCCCUGUCCACCUCCGAUCAGUGAUGAGGUUAUGGAUAUGGAUGUAUUUUGUAAAGUAUAGAAAUUGUACACGAUUAAAUUACGGUGAUUGUUGUUACAGACUCUUGGAGUUAGGUCUUCUGGCUCCAGACAGGAAUGCAAUUCCUCUUCUAGACCAGAGGUCUGCAUGAUGGACCUAAGAUUUUACUCUUUUUCCUUGGA